rnacentral:lncRNA from 1 species
GCUUACCAAUUAACAGUUACUCUCAUUCAGGCAUUUCACCAAACACAUCACAGGCAUGAAAAGACAAGCACAAAGAUACCAGAUUUACGUGGUUCGGCAGCAAGUGCCUACAUCCACGGGGAGGAGGAGCAAUCCACUAUGUCAAUCUUUCCAAUAGGGUACAAACAUAGAUACAUAAAAGCCCAAAAUAUGGACUGCCAAAUGAUCACAAUAGGAGGCAAAAAAUAAACCAAAUAUGAGGCAAAAUACCAAUCGGAUCAGCCCUUCUGCAGCCACAAUGACAGAUCAAAAGUGUAGUAUGCAAAGCAACCUUUCUACGGCUCCAAUGGUAGAUCAAAUGAAUAUCAAAAACAUACCUUCCCUUGUUGCAUAUGCUGUGAACAGCAAAUAAGAAAGAGGCUCACGGAAACAAGAAAGUCACAGGAAGAAGCCACGGCUGAAGAAGGGAAGAAGGAAGAAGGCCUCCAGCGAGCGGUAGACAAAGGGAACCCAAGUCUGAUGUUGCCGGGAGACCGAGAGUGCACGGGAGGAUGAAGAGGAUGGAGUGCGGCGGCUGAAACCCCUUUCACCCUAAAACAAAACAAAACAAAACCCUUCAUCCCACGGGAACAAAAGAAUGGCUGCCUUAUAUAUAAUGGGAUGUCAUUUUUGCAAAUAGGUCCCUCUCAAAACAACUAUUUGGAGCAAAGUCCAAAAUAAUCAACACUCUCGUUGAUCUAG